rnacentral:lncRNA from 1 species
UUUAAACACCGUUCUCUAAUAGCUUAAAUUUUUAGAGUAUAACGGUUGUUUCACAUGGUAUCAGAGCUGGAGGUCUUGAGUUCAAGUCACGCCAGAUUCCUAGCAUUAUUAAUUUCCUCCCAUUUAAUUUAAACCCACGUCAUGGACCGACUAAAAAGUCUCGAGCCCAGACGUGUUAAAUAUAAAAAUAUUUAAACAUCGUUCUCUAACAGCUUAAGCCUUUAGAGUACAACGGUUAUUUCACAUAGUAUCAGAACAGGCGGUUGUUUCACAUGGUAUUAGAACAUGAGGUCCUGAGGAGGUCCUGAGUUCAAGUCAGGCGGUUGUUUCACAUGGUAUCAGAACAUGAGGUCCUGAGGAGGUCCUGAGUUCAAGUCACGCUAGACUCCUAGUUCACAUGGUAUCAGAACAGGUGGUUGUUUCAUAUGGUAUCAGAACAGGAGGUCCCCAGGACUCACGUCUGGGCUCGAAACUUUUUAAUCGGCCCAUGACGUGGGCUUGAAUUAAAUGGGAGGAAAUUAAUAUGCUAAGAGCCUGGCGUGACUCGAACUCAGGACCUCCUGCUCUGAUACCAUGUGAAACAACCGUUGUACUCUAAAAGCUUAACACUUAAGCUUUUAGAGUACAACGGUUGUUUCACAUUGUUUCAUAUGGUAUCAGAGCAGUUCCUCCAAUUUAAUUUAAGCCCACGUCAUGGGCCGACUAAAAAGUCUCGAGCCCUAGACGUGAGGGAGAGUGUUAAAUAUAAAAAUAUUUAAACACCGUUCUCUAACAGCUUAAAUUUUUAGAGUACAACGAUUAUUUCACAAACUUAUACUUUUUUAAAAAAAAAAGUACAUUCAUUAAUUGGGAGCACUACUCUAGCAAAACUUUGUUGCCACAUAUAUGCAUCAUUGACGCAUUAAAUAAAAUUAUAAUAAAUGGAAUACGCACAAAAUUACAUUUUUAAAUAAAACCAUAUUUUGAAGCUUAAAAUUCUUAAUUUGGUGUUCUCUAGUCUCCAUUACACUAUUAUACAAUCUUCUUCAAAAUUCGAAAUCAAAAUCACUUCAACACCUUUUAAGUCUUACAAACAGUAGGGCAUUGGAAAUGCACAUGAUUUUAAGUAACGUAUAUAGAAACAUGAACUCAUAAAACAUUUAGAAAAACUUCUUAAUGCAUUUUGAAGUAGAAAAACUUCUUAAUUAAUGAGUCAACUACGUAAUAUUUCUGCUUUGCAAUCACAAAAACAAAGGAAAAAGAUAAUGCAAAAAAUAAUUGUCACAUGAAGGAUUCCUAUUUAUUUAAAGCAUGAUACGAUGAAAAAUAUUGUGUUUAUUUGUAACAGAGAUGCAGGUGAUGAAAGAACAAUUGAAACCGAAGCCGGUUAACGUGCGAAACAAGCCUACUGAAGAAGAUACAGGCACUCAACUGGCAACUGGCUCACCGCGAGGAGCGACGACUAGUCGGCCUUUUCUCUCCAAGCAAGGAAGUCAGAAGGCUAGUUGCUUGUGCUCACCGACUAAGCAUGCCGGUUCUUUUAGAUGCAGGCUUCACAGGUCGUCUCUCUAUCAUGGUGAUAGCUCUGUUGGUUCUGACCUCUCUGAGCUUGCAAACAGGUCGUCUCUCCAUCAUAGUGAUAGCUCUGUUGGCUCUGACCUCUUUGAGCUCUC